GGGCGGUGUUAGGGGCAGGUCGGGAGAUGAACUCGGAUGCCAUAGACCGCUGUUUAAUUCACCUAUCGUAUAUGAUUAUGUUCUUGUGGUCAUGAUAGGAUAGUUUAAGUGUUAAGUUAUGCAGGUGUUUAUAUGUUAAGUUGUAGGUUGAAUUGUUUUUCGCAUAAUUCAUUCUAACCUUGUGGUAUAUUCCUUGCUAACUUAUCCAAAUGCAUUAUCUUUGAAGUCAAAAAUAUAUAUACCCAUACGAGUAAGAUUUGUGAGUACCUUCGUACUCAUCGUGCUUUGUUGAUUGUUUUGCAGGAAAACUUUAGAAGCUAACUACUUGUACCCCAUCGAGAGCGGUGUGGUGAUGAGUAGCUACCAUACUAAUACUAAUCCCGGUCGGUUGCCUUGUGGGCAAAUGGCAUCAUCGGUCUUCAUUUUCUUUUAGAUGUUUAUUCCGCUACGAUAUAUGUAUAUUUACGCUAGAUGAUACUUGUCUUUUGUUAUUUUAUCAACUUGUAAUCACUUGAAUUCUUCUUUUAUCACGAUGUUGUGAUGUACAUGUUGGUGGAGAGAUGUGUGGAUAAUAGUUCUCCUGAGAAUUAUCAAAACACACAUAUUAGGACUGCUGGGAUUGGAUUCGUUUUAAUCAUUUAGAGACUACGAUUGUUGUGAUAAGAUGUGGGUUAGCACGUGGCGUGUCGAGAGACGGAUGUGUGCUACCUCUUAUCUUAUUAAAUGAUCGCUCAAUUUGAGUAAUUUGAAUACAAUUUGGGCAGAUCCUUACAGUAGGUCACCUUUUUUAUUCCAUUUUUUGUCAGACUGGAAAAGCCAGUCGAUGUGCUUGAGGUCGAUAUUGGGCUAGCAAUGGGCAUUGCUGGGACUAAGGUAAUUUUCCAUAUGGAUAAUUAGUUAUGUCAUUUUCCUUUUCUCAGAAAAGUUUUUCUUAACCAAUGUUUUUCUUCGCAAUCAUUACACGUACAUUCUAUAUACAUACACAAUGCGAUCAAGCUCUGAUAUUUCUGAGGGUUACUGCAGACAUCGAGAUGACAAAGAAGCUGCUCGACGCUGGUCGUGGUGAAGCUCAACGGCACAUUGUGAAGAGCGAGUAAUCAGUGAGAACUAUAUGUCAGAGUGAAACCCAUAUGUUGUUGCUCUUGAGAUCUUCAUGGUUGUAGACAUAUUUGUUAAUUUUAAAUUCCACCUUUGCAGCCAAUCAUUACAUAUCAUCUACAUAAGAUUAUAAUAAUUUAGACAAAUUAUCUAUGCAUUGAAAUAAAUUAGACUUAAAGCUCUUAAAUUUGAUAUCACCAUCUGUUAUAAUGUUGGUAAAUAUAGAUUUACAAAACACCAAAUGUGCCGAUUUGCAUUUUUGCUUACAAGUAACAUCUUCAUAUUUCAGGAUAAAUGUAUUUCCCUUUCAGAGACUAGAAAGGGACAUCUUCACCUGCAUGCAAGAACUUGUUAUACAGUGAAUUUUACUUAUUUAAUUUAAGCGUUUGUUGGGCGCUUUCGAAAUUAAGCUGGCACUUAGAUGGUCUAUUUGUUUGCUGGAACAGUGAACUGUGCAGUUUUCUUUUUCUGAAAUUCAGUCCGGUUUUGCUAGAAAAGAGAGUUCAGUGUUGUUUUCUGAAUAUGCAAGCAUACAAUUGUUUUCCAUAGGCACAUUUCUAGGUAAAAGCAUGCUAUUGAACAAUAAUAGUUUUCCAGUUCUUUCAGAGCAGAAAUUAA